rnacentral:ncRNA from 2 species
CGCUCAUCCAGAGGGGCAGAGGGAACGGCCCGUAGAAGCCCCGGCAACCCUUCCGCCGGUCUCGCGACGAUGCGAGGACCCGGUGGGGAAGGUGCCAAUUCCGGCCUGUGGCGAGAGGCGCCGCAGGGAAGAUGAGGA